UACGGAGGGGGUUAGCGUUGUUCGGAAUUACUGGGCGUAAAGCGCGCGUAGGCGGACUAGAAAGUUGGGGGUGAAAUCCCGAGGCUCAACCUCGGAACUGCCUCCAAAACUGCUAGUCUAGAGUUCGAGAGAGGUGAGUGGAAUUCCUAGUGUAGAGGUGAAAUUCGUAGAUAUUAGGAAGAACACCAGUGGCGAAGGCGACUUACUGGCUCGAUUCUGACGCUGAGGUGCGAAAGUGUGGGGAGCAAACAGG
rnacentral:rRNA from 1 species